rnacentral:pre_miRNA from 1 species
AGAGUGGCUCUGAGCCAAGGAUGACUUGCCGUAUUAUUCAUUCAUCAUCACUUAAAUUGCUGCUCUUAACUGUGCGUUGAUAAUGAUCCGGUGAGUUGUCCUUGCUCAGUUUCGCUCUCU